rnacentral:lncRNA from 1 species
AUGUUCUCAAAAAAUAAAACAGUUUGACAUCAGUUAAGUGUUGCCAGGGAUAUAAAACAUUCAGAGCUCUCAUUUUCCUUUCUAUUUUGCUUCAACCACCUGGAAAACCAAAUUUUCCAUAUUUAGUCAUAUUGAAAAUAUGUAUACUCUGUGACCUAAUAUCUGUAGGUCAGGGUUGGCGUGAUAAUUCAUGUGUUAAAAAAGGUUUUUAACAUUUUAAGAUGAUUUUUAAAAAUAAAAAUACUUCAUAAUGUGUAAUAUGAAAAUUACAUGAGAUUCAAAUUUCAUUGUCCUUAAAGUUCUAUUGAGAUAGUGUCACAAUUACUUGUUUAUGUAUCAUUUAUGGUUGUUUUUGUAUUACAACACCACAUUUGAGUGGUUGCAAUAGAGAUCUUAGGUCCCACAGAGCCUAAAAUGUUUACUGUCCGGACCUUUUCAGAAAAAGUUUGCUGACACCUGCCCUAAAUAAAUAUGCUUGCAUAUUUGUGCCAGGGAACAUGUUCAGGAAUGUUAAUAGCAAUACUGCUUGUAAUAAUACAAACCUAGAAAUGAUCACAUGUCUGUUAGGCAUGGAAUGGAUAAACUGGUAAGCCUCAUAAUGUAAAAUUGUAUAAGCCAGUGGAAUACUAUACAGUAGUGAAAAUGAACUGACUGCAACUACUUCCAGCAUACUAUUGGGUCUCAGGAACAUAGUAUCAGAAGAAAAACAAGUGUAGAGUUUUUCCAUUUAUAAGCAAUUCAGAAACAAACAAAUGUAAACAAGUGUUGUUGUUUUUUAAAGGAUAUCAAUGAAGUAAAACUCAGGAAAAGGAUAAAUUCAGAAUAGAGGUUGUCUUUGAGGAGUUGGUGAAGAGAUGGUAUUGGAGAGGGAACUUUAAAGGUCAUGUUCUUGUUUUUAAAUUGAGUGGUGGAUAUGUGUGUGUUUUGGUGUGAUCCUUUAUUUCUGUGAUUCAUUCUGCAUCUACUUUUGAUAUUUGAUAUGUUUUUGUGAUUUGGGGCAUUAAAAAAAGUAUGUUUUCAAAUAGUGCAGUCAUAACAUAUAAUUGUUUAUGACUAGUAGAGGGUGACCUCUCCAGUGGACUAGAACCUGCUUAAGUCUCCUCUGCCAUCUGCCAUGUCCCAGGCAUGUGUCAGGAACCCAAUUCUCAAACACUCAUAAGCAGAAAAGGGAAUUAAUAGAAGGAUUCUCUUUAAUUCCAAAUACCUUAGGGUUUUUUGGUGGUGUGUGUAUGUGUGCAUGCGUGUUUUGUUGUCUUUUUAGGGCCACACCUGUGGCAUAUGGAAGUUUCCAGGCUAGGGGUUGAAUUGGAGCUGCAGUUACCAGCCUGUGUCACAGCUGCAGCAAUGUGAGUUCCAAGCUAUAUCUGUGAUUACACCACAGCCCACAGCAAUGCCAGAUCCUUAACCCACUGAGCGAGGCCAGGAAUUGAACCUGCCUCCUCAUGGACUCUAGUCAGAUUCAUUUCUGCUGAGACAUGACGGGAACUCCCCUCUGUGAUUUUUUAAUUUGUUUAUUUUCUCAGAACAGUGGAAACAGUAUGAGGAAUAAGAAAAAAAUAAUUAUUUAGCCCAGGAAAAUAGAUCAACCUUUGGAAAACUUGGCAUAUGACAUGUAGGGUAGAAACAGAAGUUUACUGAUAAAAUUGAUCACUAUGCUUUGACAUUAAUUCUGAUUUUGUAAGUUCUAAAAUAAAUUAAGUAGUUAAUGCAUUUCACACGGAAGGUUUUAAUCUAUUGUGGUUGAGACAAAAGAACUGAGCUUUUAAUGACUGAUAUGUGUCAUUUGAGGAAAUAUACAAGUUUUUCUCCUAAAAUUGAAAGUACUUCUUUGAAGGAUAUUCACCUCUCCUGUAUUUAUUUUUAAAGUUAUUGAGGCUGAAUUUAUGUACAGUAAAAUUUACCCUUUUAGGUGUAAUCAUACCAGGGUGGACAGAUGGAUGUAAUCUUAUGACCAUCACCACAAGCAAGAAAUGGAAUGUUUUCAUAACUGCAAGUUCCUUCAUGCUCCUCUAACGGCAAUGCCCUGUUUCUCCACAGCCCCUGGCAACCACUGAUCUGAUUUCUGUCUCAUACAAAGGGAAUCAUACAGUAUAUGAUAUACAGCCUUUUGUGACUGACCACUUUGACUCAGCCAGAGCUUUUAAGAUGCAUCAGUAUUAUUGCAUAUAAGAGUUCUUUUUUAUUGCCGUAUUUCUGGGUAGUAAUAUUUCACCAUUUAGCAUACCACACUUUGUUUAUACAUUCACCAGAUGAUGGAUAGGUCCAGUGGCAGCAAUUCCACUUGGUAGUUUUCUUUUUUCCUUUAGCUGUUUGUAUUGGUGCAUAGUGGUAUUUCAUUGUGAUCUUAAUUUGCAGUUCCUGGAGUUCCUGUUGUGGCUCAGUGGAAAUGAACCUGACCAGUAUCCAUGAGGAUGCAGGUUCCAUCCCUGGCCUUGCUCAGUGGGUUAAGGUUCUGGUGUUGCUGAGAGCUGUGAUGUGGUCGCAGAUGUGGCUUGGAUUCUGCAUUGCUGUGGCUGUGAUAUAGUUCAGAUUCAACCCCUAGCCUAGGAACUUCCAAAGGCUGCCGGUGCAGCCCUGGGGGAAAAAAAAAUGUAAUUAAUUUUCAGUUCCUAAUAGCCAGCAAUGUUGAACAUUUUUCUAUGUGCUCAUUUGCCAUUGGUAUCACCGUUUUGGUGAAGCAACAGUUCAAACCUUUUGUCCAUUUUGUUAUUAGGAUUUUUUAAAAAUUGUAUUUAGAGUACUCUUUAUAUAUUCUGGGUACAAGUAACUUGUAAGAUAUGUAAUUUGUAAAUAUUCUCCCCCCCCCAAUCUAUGACUUCAGUUUUUUUUAACUGAAAGAGCAGAUUUUAAUUAUGAAGUCUGACGUAUCAGUGUUUUUUAAUAAUUUGUGGAUUUUAUUGUUACUAUUUGAGGAAUCUCUAAUGUAAAGCCUCAAAGAUUUCUGCCUCUCCUUUAUCCUCCUGCUUUCUCCAUACCACUCUUUUUCCAAAUAAAGUCACACCCACUUCAUUUCUUUCUCAAUUUUAGAAUCUAAUUGUGCUUCCUUGGAAAAAUUAAAUAGGAAUGGGUACAAAGCUAUAAAGAUUUACAUUCAAGUGUUCUGGGCUAUAAGCAGUGAAAAAAACACAAUC